AUGCUUGGUUCAGCAGCACAUAUGCUAAAAUUGGAAUGACACAUAGAAGAUUAAUAUGGCUCCAGUGCAAGAAUGGCACACACUUUGUGAAGUUCUCUGUAGUCUU